UGCAGCAGAGCUCCGACCUUCGGGGACGAGCGCUUUUAUUAGACCAAAACCAAUCGGACCUCGUGUCCGUCCUUUGUGGUGACUCUGUAUAACUUUGGGCUGAUCGCACGGGCCUGUCCCGGCGACGUAUCUUUCAAGUGUCUGCCUUAUCAACUUUCGAUGGUAGGUUACGCGCCUACCAUGGUCGUAACGGGUAACGGGGAAUCAGGGUUCGAUUCCGGAGAGGGAGCCUGAGAAACGGCUACCACAUCCAAGGAAGGCAGCAGGCGCGCAAAUUACCCACUCCCAGAACGGGGAGGUAGUGACGAAAAAUAACAAUACGGGACUCUUUUGAGACCCCGUAAUUGGAAUGAGUACACUCUAAAUCCUUUAACGAGGAUCCAUUGGAGGGUAAGUCUGGUGCCAGCAACCGCGGUAAUUCCAGCUCCAAUAGCGUAUAUUAAAGUUGUUGCGGUUAAAAAGCUCGUAGUUGGAUCUCAGUUCCAGACGGGUGGUCCUCCUACCGGUGGCUACUGCCUGUUCUGAACAGUCAGCCGGUUUCUCUUGAUGAUCUUCAUCGGUUGUCUUGGGUGACCGGCAAGUUUACUUUGAAAAAAUUAGAGUGCUCAAAGCAGGCGUGACGCCUGAAUAAUGGUGCAUGGAAUAAUGGAAUAGGACCUCGGUUCUAUUUUGUUGGUUUUCGGAACACGAGGUAAUGAUUAAGAGGGACAGACGGGGGCAUUCGUAUUGCGACGCUAGAGGUGAAAUUCUUGGACCGUCGCAAGACGAACUACUGCGAAAGCAUUUGCCAAGAAUGUUUCCAUUAAUCAAGAACGAAAGUUAGAGGUUCGA
rnacentral:rRNA from 1 species